AAAUCCCUGCGGUGUGCGUUAGGAAAACAAUAUGAAAACCAACACGUUAUGGACGGGACGCUAAACUUCUGGUUCGCUCUUGGGCAGCCAGAGAAGUUCCCACUUGAAACUUAGGUUUGCCAUAACUUUUCCGACGGCAUAGCGGGGAUUUU
rnacentral:other from 1 species